rnacentral:rRNA from 1 species
GGAGUUAGCCGGUGCUUCUUCUGCGAGUAACGUCACAGAUGUAAGGUAUUAACUUACACCCUUUCCUCCUCGCUGAAAGUGCUUUACAACCCGAAGGCCUUCUUCACACACGCGGCAUGGCUGCAUCAGGGUUUCCCCCAUUGUGCAAUAUUCCCCACUGCUGCCUCCCGUAGGAGUCUGGGCCGUGUCUCAGUCCCAGUGUGGCUGAUCAUCCUCUCAGACCAGCUAGGGAUCGUCGCCUAGGUGAGCCUUUACCUCACCUACUAGCUAAUCCCACCUGGGCUUAUCCAUCAGCGCAAGGCCCGAAGGUCCCCUGCUUUCCCCCGUAGGGCGUAUGCGGUAUUAGCAGUCGUUUCCAACUGUUAUCCCCCACAAAUGGGCAAAUUCCCAGGCAUUACUCACCCGUCCGCCGCUCGUCAUCUUCAAAAGCAAGCUUUUGAAAUGUUACCGCUCGACUUGCAUGUGUUAGGCCUGCCGCCAGCGUUCAAUCUGAGCCAGGAAUCGAAACCU